rnacentral:rRNA from 1 species
AUUGAACGCUGGCGGCAGGCUUAACACAUGCAAGUCGAGCGAGCGGCGGACGGGUGAGUAAUGUCUGGGAAACUGCCCGAUGGAGGGGGAUAACUACUGGAAACGGUAGCUAAUACCGCAUACUAUCAGAUGUGCCCAGAUGGGAUUAGCGAGUAGGUGGGGUAAAGGCUCACCUAGGCGACGAUCCCUAGCUGGUCUGAGAGGAUGACCAGCCACACUGGAACUGAGACACGGUCCGGACUCCUACGGGAGGCAGCAGUGGGGAAUAUUGCACAAUGGGCGCAAGCCUGAUGCAGCCAUGCCGCGUGUGUGAAGAAGGCCUUCGGGUUGUAAAGGACUUUCAGCGAGGAGGCGUUACUCGCAGAAGAAGCACCGGCUAACUCCGUGCCAGCCGCCGCGGUAAUAC